AGUGAAACUCAAAGGAAUUGACGGGGACCCCGCACAAGCGGUGGAGCAUGUGGUUUAAUUCGAAGCAACGCGAAGAACCUUACCAAAUCUUGACAUCCUCUGACCCCUCUAGAGAUAGAGUUUUCCCCUUCGGGGGACAGAGUGACAGGUGGUGCAUGGUUGUCGUCAGCUCGUGUCGUGAGAUGUUGGGUUAAGUCCCGCAACGAGCGCAACCCUUAAGCUUAGUUGCCAUCAUUAAGUUGGGCACUCUAAGUUGACUGCCGGUGACAAACCGGAGGAAGGUGGGGAUGACGUCAAAUCAUCAUGCCCCUUAUGAUUUGGGCUACACACGUGCUACAAUGGACAAUACAAAGGGYAGCGAAACCGCGAGGUCAAGCAAAUCCCAUAAAGUUGUUCUCAGUUCGGAUUGUAGUCUGCAACUCGACUAUAUGAAGCUGGAAUCGCUAGUAAUCGUAGAUCAGCAUGCUACGGUGAAUACGUUCCCGGGUCUUGUACACACCGCCCGUCACACCACGAGAGUUUGUAACACC
rnacentral:rRNA from 1 species